rnacentral:snoRNA from 1 species
GAGUGAAUGAUGAGCAAAUUUAUCGCGGCAUUGUGUCAAACUGUUUUUCGUUUGUUAGGCCCCAAGUCCCAGCCAUGUGUGUGGGCCCCAUCGCCAGC